UACGAAGGGGGCUAGCGUUGUUCGGAAUUACUGGGCGUAAAGCGCGCGCAGGCGGUCUCUCAAGUCAGUGGUGAAAUCCCGGAGCUCAACUCCGGAACUGCCAUUGAAACUGUUAGACUUGAGUACGAGAGAGGUGAGUGGAAUUCCCAGUGUAGAGGUGAAAUUCGUAGAUAUUGGGAAGAACACCAGUGGCGAAGGCGACACACUGGCUCACUACUGACGCUGAGGCGCGAAAGCGUGGGGAGCAAACAGG
rnacentral:rRNA from 1 species